AUUCCUGAGGCUACUUUAGCACCUCUUGGGCAGCACAGACAGGACAGCUUGCUACACAGGAACCAAACAAACCCAUCAAAAGAAUAAUGGAUUAGGAUUUCCUCAGAGGCACUGAUGGCCACGCCAAGAUGUUAACUCACAUCACAAAAUGCACAGGAUUCUCAUGGCACCAGAAAAACUCUACCCAAUGCAUCAGACACUGUCACCCAGAGAGAAAAGCCUAUUCUGUCACAAAUCUGAGAAGCUGAAGGACCCCUCUCCAUGCAUAGGAUUUUUCUCCACAUAAUGUAACAUCUCUACAGGCAGAAUACAAGCUGAAGGAUUCAUUUAAUACUAAGCAACAGAGGACAAAGAGCUUCCCAAACUAGCAAAGGUCCCCAAAUCCUGAGUUCCAACAGAAAAAUGUUGUGACUAUAUGUGUAGGAAAACUGAACAAGUUAUAUCCACUACAUGUAUUCAAACUAUGCAAAAUGAUGGGUGUGGUGAGGAGGGGGAGAGAGGAAGGAGGCUAUUAAAUCACCUUACCUGUAGUUCUGACAUGUAAUUUGUUAUUUUUAAUAUAAAACAUAGUUUUGGGUGUUUUAUCUGGCACAAAGACAGAAAAUGUUCUUU
rnacentral:lncRNA from 1 species